ACCCGGAGGAAAAGAAAUCAACCGAGAUUCCCUAAGUAGCGGCGAGCGAACGGGGACCAGCCCUUAAGCAAGGACUAAGUUAGCAGAACGCUCUGGAAAGUGCGACGAUACAAGGUGAUAGUCCUGUAUGCGAAAGCUUUAUUCUUGUGAAAACGAGUAGGACGGAACACGUGAAAUUCUGUCUGAACAUGGGGGGACCACCCUCCAAGGCUAAAUACUCUCUACCGACCGAUAGUGAACCAGUACCGUGAGGGAAAGGCGAAAAGAACCCCAGGAGGGGAGUGAAAUAGAACCUGAAACCGUGUACGUACAAGCAGUGGGAGCACCUUCGUGGUGUGACUGCGUACCUUUUGUAUAAUGGGUCAGCGACUUACUGUGUGUUGCAAGGUUAACUGAAUAAGGGAGCCGUAGGGAAACCGAGUCUUAAAUGGGCGACAGUAGCAUGCAGUAGACCCGAAACCGGGCGAUCUAUCCAUGGCCAGGAUGAAGGUUGAGUAACAUCAACUGGAGGUCCGAACCCACUAAUGUUGAAAAAUUAGGGGAUGAGCUGUGGAUCGGAGUGAAAGGCUAAUCAAGCUCGGAGAUAGCUGGUUCUCCCCGAAAACUAUUUAGGUAGUGCCUCAUGUCUCACUGUUGGGGGUAGAGCACUGUUAUGGUCUAGCGGGCCGUCAAGGCUUAGCAGCCCAUUGCAAACUCCGAAUACCAACAAGUGCAAUCAUGGGAGACAGACAGCGGGUGCUAACGUCCGUUGUCAAGAGGGAAACAACCCAGACCGCCAAUUAAGGUCCCUAAACACUGCUCAGUGGGAAAGGAUGUGGGAAGGCUUAGACAGUCAGGAGGUUGGCUUAGAAGCAGCCACCCUUUAAAGAAAGCGUAAUAGCUCACUGAUCGAGUCGGCCUGCGCCGAAGAUUUAACGGGGCUAAGCAGUGUACCGAAAUUGCGGAUGCCGUAAGGCAUGGUAGGGGAGCGUCGUGUAAGUCUGUGAAGGUGUGCUGUCAGGCAUGCUGGAGAUAUCACGAGUGCGUAUGCUGACAUAAGUAGCGAUAAAGGGCGUGAAAAACGCCCUCGCCGAAAGCCCAAGGUUUCCUACGCAACGCUAAUCGACGUAGGGUUAGUCGGCUCCUAAGGCGAGGCCGAAAGGCGUAGUCGAUGGGAAACAGGUUAAUAUUCCUGUACUUUUUAUAACUGCGAUGGAGGGACGGAGAAGGCUAGGCCAGCAAGGCGAUGGUUGUCCUUGUUUAAGGUGGUAGGCAGAAGACUUAGGUAAAUCCGGGUCUUUAAUGCUGAGAGCUGAUGACGAGUCCAUUUAGGACGAAGUGGUUGAUGCCCUGCUUCCAAGAAAAUCUUCUAAGCUUCAGGUUAUAAAAAACCGUACCCCAAACCAACACAGGUGGGCAGGAUGAGAAUUCCAAGGCGCUUGAGAGAACUCGGGUGAAGGAACUAGGCAAAAUGACACCGUAACUUCGGGAGAAGGUGUGCCCCUAAUGGUGAAGGACUUGCUCCGUAAGCUGUUGGGGGUUGCAGAGACCAGGUGGCUGCGACUGUUUAUUAAAAACACAGCACUGUGCAAAAUCGAAAGAUGACGUAUACGGUGUGACGCCUGCCCGGUGCCGGAAGGUUAAUUGAUGGGGUUAGCGCAAGCGAAGCUCUUGAUCGAAGCCCCGGUAAACGGCGGCCGUAACUAUAACGGUCCUAAGGUAGCGAAAUUCCUUGUCGGGUAAGUUCCGACCUGCACGAAUGGCGUAACGAUGGCCACACUGUCUCCACCCGAGACUCAGCGAAAUUGAAAUCGCGGUCAAGAUGCCGUGUACCCGCGGCUAGACGGAAAGACCCCGUGAACCUUUACUAUAGCUUUACACUGGACUUUGAUACUAUCUGUGUAGGAUAGGUGGGAGGCUUUGAAACAAGGACGCCAGUUCUUGUGGAGCCAUCCUUGAAAUACCACCCUGAUCGUAUUGAGGUUCUAACCUCGGCCAGUGAACCCUGGCCAGGGACAGUGUAUGGUGGGUAGUUUGACUGGGGCGGUCUCCUCCUAAAGAGUAACGGAGGAGCGCGAAGGUACCCUCAGCACGGUCGGACAUCGUGCAAUGAGCGCAAGAGUAAAAGGGUGCUUGACUGCGAGACAGACACGUCGAGCAGGUGCGAAAGCAGGUUCUAGUGAUCCGGUGGUUCUGUGUGGAAGGGCCAUCGCUCAACGGAUAAAAGGUACUCCGGGGAUAACAGGCUGAUACCGCCCAAGAGUUCAUAUCGACGGCGGUGUUUGGCACCUCGAUGUCGGCUCAUCACAUCCUGGGGCUGAAGUCGGUCCCAAGGGUAUGGCUGUUCGCCAUUUAAAGUGGUACGCGAGCUGGGUUUAGAACGUCGUGAGACAGUUCGGUCCCUAUCUGCCGUGGGCGUUGGAGAAUUGAGGGGGGCUGCUCCUAGUACGAGAGGACCGGAGUGGACGAACCGCUGGUGUUCCAGUUGUCAUGCCAAUGGCACUGCUGGGUAGCUACGUUCGGAAAAGAUAACCGCUGAAAGCAUCUAAGCGGGAAACUUGCCCCAAGAUGAGUUCUCCCUAGACUUUAAGUCUUCUAAAGAGCCGUUCAAGACCAGGACGUUGAUAGGCAAGGUGUGGAAGCGCAGUAAUGUGUGAAGCUAACUUGUACUAAUUACUCGUGAGGCUUAACUA
rnacentral:rRNA from 1 species